UGAGGAAUAUUGGUCAAUGGGGGAAUCCUGAACCAGCCAUGCCGCGUGCAGGACGACGGCUCUACGAGUUGUAAACUGCUUUUGUGCCGGGGUAAAAUGCUCUACGAGUAGGGUUUUGAAAGUACGGUACGAAUAAGGAUCGGCUAACUCCGUGCCAGCAGCCGCGGUAAUACGGAGGAUCCGAGCGUUAUCCGGAUUCAUUGGGUUUAAAGGGUGCGUAGGUUGUUUUAUAAGUUAGCGGUGAAAUACCGAUGCUCAACAUCGGGGCUGCCGCUAAUACUGUAGGACUAGAGAUCGGAUGCAGCAGGCGGAAUGUGUAGUGUAGCGGUGAAAUGCAUAGAUAUUACACAGAACACCGAUUGCGAAGGCAGCUUGCUAGGCCGGAUCUGACACUGAUGCACGAAAGCGUGGGGAUCGAACAGGAUUAGAUACCC
rnacentral:rRNA from 1 species